rnacentral:tRNA from 1 species
GGGUAUAGCUCAGUGAUAGAGCACAUGCUUGGCAUGCAUGAGGUCCUGGGUUCAAUCCCCAGUAUCUCCA